GACGAAGGUGGCGACCGUUGUUCGGAAUCACUGGGCAUAAAGAGCUCGUAGGCGGUGAGAAAAGUAGGGUGUGAAAUCCCUCGGCCCAACCGAGGAACUGCGCUCUAAACUGUCUUGCUUGAGGACCGAAGGGGACCACGGAAUUCCUGGUGGAGCGGUGAAAUGCGUUGAUAUCAGGAGGAGCACCGGUGGCGAAGGCGGGUCUCUGGGCCGUAACUGACGCUGAGGAGCGAAAGCAUGGGGAGCGAACAGG
rnacentral:rRNA from 1 species